CACCGCGGUUAUACGAAAGACUCAAGUUGACAGUCAUCGGCGUAAAGCGUGGUUAAAACAUAUUCCUCAAACUAAAGCCGAAAGCCUUCAGAGCAGUUAUACGCUUCCGAAAGUAAGAAGCCCUUUCACGAAAGUAGCUUUAUAGUAUUUUGACGCCACGAAAACUGGGACA
rnacentral:rRNA from 1 species